UAAAAAAUGAAAUAAAGGAAGGGUCAAAGUCAAAGAGAAGAAGAAGUGAACCAAAUAAGGAUCGUGGCGUGGAAAUCAGAAACAAAACAUCUCUAACAACGAUCCACAUCACUUCCUCUUCUUCAAUGUCGCUCAUCUUCCACUUGUGCAUCAUUAUCUUUGCGUCUUCGUCAAGUCAAAUUGUUUCCAAGACCCUUUUAGAUCGUAUCAUACUCCUCUUUGUUCCCUUUUGUUGUUAAGUGAAAAAAUGGGUUUUGGUAAUUUAAUUGUUGUGCAUACAUUUUCUAUUUUGUUAUUCUUCCGUUAAUGUAAUGAAAGAGUUGUUAGCAUAUAAAACAAAGUUCAGUUUCUUCUUUCUUUGGAUUAUGCGAUAUACAGUCAUAACAUUUUCUAUCUUAAAACAUAGUUCCAACGACAAAAGUAGUUCCAAU
rnacentral:sRNA from 1 species